rnacentral:lncRNA from 1 species
UUGGUGGCCAUCCCCAUGACCACAGCAGCCAUGACCUCAUUGGUGACCUUCUCUGGAGCCACGAUGACUUUGGUGGCCAACUCCAUGACCACGGUAGCCACAUCCAUUCUGGUGGCCAACUCCAGGACUACGGUAGCCACAUCCACUUUGGUGGCCAUCUCCGUGACCGUGGUAGCCACGCUCAUGUUGGCGGCCAUCCCCAUCCCCACGGCAGCCAUGCCCACGCUGCUGUCCCCCCCCAUGACCUUGGUGUCCCCCGCCAUGACCUCAGUGUCCCCCCAGCACGUUGGUUGCUGUCCUGCUUUUGUGACACAGAGUCAGGGUGACACCGGGGGGGGGGGGGGGGCACGGAGGCCCCGAGUUUAAUUAAUGCUCGUUACGGGGCGGCGCUGUGCAGCCCCGGUGUCCCCAGUGUCCCCAGCGUCCAUUGGGUGGGGGUGGCACCUGGGUGUCCCCAGUGUCCAUUGGGUGGUAGUGGCACUCAGGUGGCCCAAUGUCCCUUGGGUGAUGGUGGCACCUGGGUGUCCCCAAUGUCCUUUGGGUGGGGGUGGCACCUGGGUGUCCCCAGUGUCCAUUGGGUGGUGGUGGCACCUGGGUCUCCCCANUGUCCCCAAUGUCCCCGUUGUCCCCAAUACCCCGUUGUCCCCAUCGUCCCCAUUGUCCCCACUGCCACCAAUAUCUCCAGUGUCCCCAAUGCCCCCAACACCUCCAGUGUCCCCAAUAACCUCAGCGUCCCCGAUUUCCCCAUUGCCCCCAGUGUCCCCACUGUCCCCAGUGGCCCUAGCGUCCCCAAUAUUCCCAUUGCCCCCAUUGUCCCCCUUGGCCCCAGUGUCCCCAUUACCCCUAAUGUCCCCACUGUCCCCACUGCCCCCAGUGUCCCAGUGUCCUCCACACCCCCAGCACCCCCAUAUCCUCAUUGUCCCAUGUCCCCAUUACCCCCAUGUCCCCAGUGUCCCUGCUGCC